GACGAACGCUGGCGGCGUGCUUAACGCAUGCAAGUCGAACGGAAAGGCCUGCUUUCCCUUGUGGAUUGCGGGUACUCGAGUGGCGAACGGGUGAGUAACACGUGAGUGAUCUGCCCCCAACUUGGGUAUAAGCCUGGGAAACUGGGUCUAAUUCCCGAUAGGACUGCAGGGUGGUGCCUGUGGUUGAAAACGAUUUUCUAGUGGUUGGGGAUGAGCUCGCGGCCUAUCAGCUUGUUGGUGGGGUAAUGGCCUACCAAGGCGGCGACGGGUAGCCGGCCUGGGAGAGUGGACGGGCCAAUGGGGACUGAGAUACGGCCCAGACUACAACGGGAGGCAGCAGUCGGGAAUCAUGAGCAAUGGGCGGAAGCCAGAGGCAGCGACGCCGCGGGGGGGAUGACGGCCUUCGGGUUGUAGACUCCUUUCGACCGCGAGGAAGCCACCUGGAUGGAAGGGUGGUGACGGUAGUGAUAGAAGAAGCACCGGCUAACUACGUG
rnacentral:rRNA from 1 species